rnacentral:tRNA from 1 species
GGUGAGGUGGCCGAGAGGCUGAAGGCGGCGGUUUGCUAAACCGUUAUACGGGCUAACACCUGUAUCCAGGGUUCGAAUCCCUGCCUCACCGCCA